rnacentral:lncRNA from 1 species
GUGGCAGAAACUGUUCAAGAAGAAGAAAAGACUGAGUUGUCUCGUGAGAAACAACCUAUUGGCAGCUCAGUGGAUGAUGAGUCAAAAGGACCUGAAGUUGAACCCUGUGAACAAAUGGAUGUCAGGGGCGACGGGAUUGUGCCAGAAACUGUUCCAGAAGAGUUGGGUCUUCCUUCAUCUCCCAUGGUAGUUGAGGAAGAAAAGAUUGAGGGUUUGUCUGAGAAGGAACCCUCUGCCAGUUCAAUCCCACGGGGUGAGUCAAAAGGGCCUGAUGCUGAAGCCAACAACAUAGUUGAUGCUGAGGGUGGUGGGAACAUGCAGCAAACUGUUCCACAAGAUUUGGGACUACCUUUGUCUUCUUCGGAUGUUGAGGAAGAAAAGAUUGAGGGUUUUUCAAAACCUGUUGGCAGCGAGAAGGAAUCCAUUGCCAGUGCAGUGCCGCUGGAUGAGUCAAAGGGGCCUGAUGCAGAAGUUAGCAGCCAAACAGCUAUUGAGGGUGGUGGGGUCGUGUCCAUACCUGUUCCAGAAGAGGCGGAUGGACCUGCAUCCUUCUUGGCAGCUGAAGAAGAAAAGAAUGAGUGUU